CCAUUGCCAGCCGCUGGCCAGUUGGAUUUGUCCAGCUGGUUUACGGUUGGUGUCGGCGGGAACGACAUUUAUCACAGCGUGUCGCGUGCCCGAACCCGCCAUUUGCUGCUUUGCCUACUCCUACUAACAGUAGGGGUAGGCAUCUUUCUCUUGCCAGCUCGAUGAGCUGGUAAGAUA
rfam:Hepatitis C virus genotype 3, genome